GGAACUGCUCCUGUGCUCCUCCUGUGCUGCCGAGGGCACCCCCAGGCACUGCUCUGGCCUGAGGGACAUCAUAACCAGCUGGGAAUGUGAUGGCUGUGCAGUCCUGGGCACAGCGUCCAGUUAAGACCCAGAGCUUGUUGAUCUCAUGAAGGACUCUUCUGACAACUCCAAGGAAUACGAGACCAUCACCCUCAGUACAAGCAAACUCCAUACAAACUGACAGGCAACAUCGGAGGAGACUCUGAAAUCCCUCUCACAAAAGACGAGCAGCUCCAGCCCUGACAGUCAGAUCCUGAAGUCACCGUGACAGGAGCUGUGUUAGAGCACCCAGUGCUGGGAGCUCCACUCACCAGUGGGACGGUGAGACAGGGACCCACCGCUGACACGUCCCACGUCAGACAGGGAGGAGGAGCCCCCCGAAGUGAGGGAGCCAGCAUGCCAGCUGUGUGGACGAUCAGAGGCUGACCCGGACGUGUGGAGAAAAUCUCCAGAUAAAUGGGCUCUGUUUCCACGAGUUCUGCCGGGUGAGUUGCUUCAUGUUUUGACAGGCAGUCCCUGCCACUCUCUCCUCAUCAGUAC